rnacentral:piRNA from 1 species
UUUAAACAGGAUGAAUGACAUGGAGCCU